GCAUCCAGCCGAGGGAUUUCUUCUGACUCCAAGGCCGCUCUGGAGUCGAAGAAGGUCGGGGCAACGUCCAGGCAUCCGGUCCCUUCUGGCCGCACUGACGAGAGGACGGUUGAGACAACACAGAGCCCGGGUGUGUUGUCUUCUACUGAUGAAGAUGAGGCAACUACUGCGAAGGUAAGUGAGGUGAGUAUGGGUAAUGUUGAUGUUGUUAGGGGUUCAGUUCACCAGGGGCACAGUCGGUUUAGGAAUCCGGGAGUUCAGUGUAUGGCGAUAGGGUUGGUUAGUUUGGCCAGACAUAUGGUGUCUAGUGUGUUCAAUUGGAAGACAGAAGAUUUAGAUUUAGCUCUGUGGUUAGGAGAUCAGCUCUAUACACAUCUGAAGGACCAUGGUCUAAUUCCUCCAGGAGAAGACUUUUUGAUGAUCCCAGAGUUGCCGAAAGAGCACGUUUUAUACUGGCAGAACUUUAAGUUUGCGUUCCCUGAGACUGUCAGUGGUGAUGUCACUGUGACUGAAGGAGAGUUCAUUGAGUGUGGAGCAUUUGUGACUCUAGAACAUG